rnacentral:rRNA from 1 species
GUAGGGGGCAAGCGUUAUCCGGAUUUACUGGGUGUAAAGGGAGCGUAGACGGCACGGCAAGCCAGAUGUGAAAGCCCGGGGCUCAACCCCGGGACUGCAUUUGGAACUGCUGAGCUAGAGUGUCGGAGAGGCAAGUGGAAUUCCUAGUGUAGCGGUGAAAUGCGUGGAUAUUAGGAGGAACACCUGUGGCGAAGGCGGCUUGCUGGACGAUGACUGACGUUGAGGCUCGAAAGCGUGGGGAGCAAACAGGAUUAGAUACCCUGGUAGUCCACGCCGUAAACGAUGACUGCUAGGUGUCGGGUGGCAAAGCCAUUCGGUGCCGCAGCUAACGCAAUAAGCAGUCCACCUGGGGAGUACGUUCGCAAUAAUG